rnacentral:lncRNA from 1 species
GGCUGUGCUCUCUGUCCUGCCGCUGGAUGCUGUGGAGGGUGUUAAGGCAAGCUUCGAAGUUGCGACAUGGAUGCAUUGACUUAUGAUGAUGUGCAUAUGAACUUCACUCGAGAAGAAUGGGCUUUGCUGAAUGCUUCACAGAAGAGUCUUUACAAAGAUGUGAUGUUGGAGAACUACAGAAACCUCAUUGCUGUAGGCAUAAAAGAAGUCUUACUGGAGAGAAACCCUAUGAAGGCAUUCAGUACUGUGAAACCUUUCUACAUCACAGUAGUCUCCAAAUGCAGAAAAUAACACACACUGGAGAGAAAUGCUACAAAUGCAGUCAAUGUGGUAAAGCCUUUGCAGGACACCAUACUCUCCAAAUACAUGAAAGAACACAUAGUGGAGCGAAAGCCUAUGAAUGUAAGCAAUGUAGUAAAUCCUUUGCCUCUCACAAUCAAUUUCAAAAACAUGAAGGAAUUCAUACUGGAGAGAAACCUUAUAAAUGUGAUCAAUGUGGUAAAGCCUUUGCACAACACAGUCAUCUUAAAAAGCAUAAAGUAACACAUACUGGAGAGAAACCUUACAAAUGUAAUCAGUGUGGUAAAAGCUUUGUUUAUUCUAAAUCUUUACGAGUACAUAAAAGAACACAUACUGGAGAGAAGCCCUAUGAAUGUAAUCAAUGUGGCAAAGCCUUUGCAUAUCAAAGUUCUUUCCAAGUACAUAAAAGAAUACAUACGGGAGAGAAACCUUAUAAAUGUAAUGAAUGUGGUAAAGCCUUUGCCCGAAACAGUGAACUCCGAACACAUGAAAGAAUUCAUACUGGAGAGAAACCUUACAAAUGUAAUCAAUGUGGGAAAGCCUUUGUACGUCACGAUGCACUUCAAAGGCAUGAAAGAAUACAUACUAGAGUGAAACAUAAAGAAUGUAAUCAAUGUAGUAAAUCCUUUGCUUCUCCUGCUCAACUUCGAAAACAUGAAAGAAUUCAUUCUGGAGAGAAACCUUUCACAUGUAGUCAAUGUGGUAAAGCCUUUGUACGUCAAUAUGAUCUUCAAAGACAUGAAAGAAUACAUACUGGAGAGAAACCCUAUGAAUGUAAGCAAUGUAGUAAAUCCUUUGCUUCUCAUAAUCAACUUCGAAUACAUGAAAGAAUUCAUACUGGAGAGAAACCUUACAAAUGUAAUCAAUGUGGUAAAGCCUUUGCACAACUCAGUCAUCUCAAAAUGCAUAAAAUAACACAUACUAGAGACAAAUACAAUGAAUGUAAGCAAUGUAGUAAAUCCUUUGCUUUUCAUGGUCUACUUCAACUACAUGAAAGAAUUCAUACUGGAGAGAAACCUUACAAAUGUGAUCAAUGUGGUAAAGCCUUUGCACAACACGGUCAUCUCAAAAUGCAUAAAAUCACACAUACUGGAGAGAAACCUUACAAAUGUAAUCAGUGUGGUAAAGGCUUUGCCUAUCAUAGAACUUUCCAAGUACAUAAAAGAACACAUACUGGAGAGAAGCCCUAUGAGUGUGAGCAAUGUGGCAAAGCCUUUGCAUAUCAAAAUUAUUUCCAAGUACAUAAAAGAAUACAUACUGGAGAGAAGCCCUAUGAAUGUAAGCAAUGUGGCAAAUCCUUUGUUUCUCAUGCUUCACUUCGAAAACAUGAAAGAAUUCAUACUGGAGAGAAAACUUAUUAAUGUAGACAAUGUUGUAAAGCCUAUUCACAAUCAAGUCACCUCCAAUUGCAUAAAAGAACACAUACUAAAGAGUAACCUCAUGAAUAUAACCAAAGUGAUCUUGAAAGUUGUGGUGGUUUAAAUAUACUUGGCCCAUGGCAAGUGGCAGUAUUAGUGAGUAUGGCCUUUCUGGAGUAGAUGUGGCAUUUGAGAAAGUCUGUCACUGUGGGCUUAGACUCUGAGAUCCUAUGCUUAAGCUCCACCCAGGGCAAAAGAGACUUCUGGCUGCCUUCUGAUCAAGAUGUCGAAUUCUUAUCUCCUCCAGCACUACGUGUGCUUAGACACUGACCUUUUUUCCCACCUUAAUGAUAAUAGACUGAAUCUCUGCAUCUAUACACUACUCGCAAUUAGAUGUUCUUUAUAAGAGUUGCCUUGGUCAUAGUGUCUUUUCACAGCAAUAAAACCCAAAUUAAGACAAACAGCAUAAAAGAUACUACACUGGAGAGAAGCUGACAAGCAGAUAGUUCUCUGCAUCUUUGAUAACAGAUAUAACAUGUUUUAAAUAGUCUAUUCUUCCUUCUCUUCUCUCCUUCCAUUUUUCCUCAUCUGUAUUCUUCUAAAUCUCCUUUUCCUUGCCAUUUCUUUUUUUACCCCCAUGAGGACAGUGAUUUAUUAAGAUAGAAUCUCACAUGUAUUCCAGAGUAGUCUUGAAUUAAAAAUCCUCCUACCACUACCUCUUGAAGGCUGAGAUUGUAGUUGUGUAUAUCAUGCCCAGGUUUUUCAAGCAGAAAUCCAUGAGAUGUGGAACCCUGAGCUAGAAAUUUUUGAGAAAUUGAUAAGUUGAUGGCAAUAUUGAGAAAUAAAUUCAGAGAGAACAGUCAUGCCUCCACUUCUGUUAGCUCCUGGAAGACCACUACUGGAGGGAUAUGGAGUAAAGCUUAGGCAUAAUUAUAAAGCAGCCUGUUUUCACUUGAGACAAUAAGAGGCACCAAAAUGACAAAGAAGGACUAGAGCUUAAAGCAUAGUAAAGGCCUUCCCAAGCCAGACAAGGACUCCAGGAGAUGCUCUGACAGAUUUAGUGAUCCUUGGCCCAAGACAACCAACCCCAUUGUGUUAGGAGGUGUAAGAGAUGGUUCCAAGGUACUUCCGUCUAGCUUCAGAUAGUGUUUAUUUUUAACUCAGUCACAUAUUGGAUAGAGUAGAGAUGAGUAUCUUUAACAUGGCAGUCUUUCUAGACCAUUAUCCAUAUCCAAAGAGCAUCAGAACAUGGGAUCUGCUGCUGACACAUGGAAGCAAUUCCAGAAAUAUCCCAGUUAUGUAAAUAUUUGUUUUUGAAAUGUUUAAUUACAAGUUUCUUCAGAAUUUGGAAGGUUCAUAUGAAGAACACACAAUGAACAGAGUGCCUUUAGCUAUGUUACUGAUGGGCAGGGAAAGAAACCACCUGUGAAUUUUCCUUAAAUGUUUCCUUCCUGUAUUCUUUUACAUCAUGCAAAGCAUGAACUUUGAUUGGUCUCUGAGGUCUUGCACCGUUUCUCCUUGGUAUUAUUGCCUGAUGAUCAGGUAAUGAAUUCUGGUCUUUACUGUGCAUGCAGAGAUCAAGAUUUCCUAAUAACUCAAUGUGUUUUCUUAGAAUCAACAUUGUAUUGAAUAUGUAAAACAUCUAGACUGAUUUACAGUGUAAGUAGCAUUUGUCUGUGUUCUGUGCUGUUACUACACAAUUCUACAUGCAUUGAAUGUAGUUUAACUCCACUACAUUGUUUUGGCUGCUCACUAUUACUUAUUGAUCAUCUAUCUCCCAGGAAGCACAUUAUACAGUGAAACUACCUUUUCAUUGUGUUGUUUCUUGAAAUUUGCACUAGAAAACAUUAAAUUAAAAAGUGUUAUUUCUCUGGAGUAUGCUCAGCAAUUAGUUUUGUAUCAGGAAAUUAAGAGCAGCUUUCAGUUGCAUACAGUCACAGUUAACAGAGUCUGCUAUGGUCAAGUGCAAUGCAUAUUUCUUCCUUCUAGUCAUCUUGAUGAACUACAAAGUUGUUCAUUCUCAGAAAACUAAACUUAAAUAAUUAACUAAGUUAUGGAUAUAGUGACUGGGAAAUUAUGUGAAGAAUAAAACUGCACUGGAGAGAUGGCUCAGAGGUUGAAUGCACUGACUGUUCUUCCAAGGCCCUGAGUUCAAUUCCCAACAAGCCCAUGAUGGCUCACAACUAUCUGUAAUGUAAUCUUGGAGCCCUCUUCUGGGAUAGAGGCAGAACACUGUACAGAAUAAAGGAAUAAAUCUUUAAUCAUAAUAAAAGAAUAAAAAUGCAAAAUCCGUGCCCAAAAAAGGGAGAAUUCUUGUUUUCCCUUCAUAAGAAGGUAGGUGAAACUUAUUUGAGAUGGCAAAAGGCUCUAUGGCUGUUUGAAGAAGAUGGUAUGUUACCUAGAUGCUUUAAUUAGCACCUAAAGUACAGAUCAUAAUAUUUCCUUUUAUGUGGGAGGGCAGUCAUGCAAAAUACAUGUAAUUGGGCAAGUUUGCACAUCCUCUCCUCCAGCUAGAGGACUGAUCACAUUGGGAAUAGGCUACUGAAAAUGUGCUUCAAAGACUCACCCACCUGGAAACAGUUUUGUUUUUUUUUUUUAAUUAAAGACUGUGAAAACUUUUUAAAAUUUAUUUUU